UGACAGAAAUGUGUAUAUAUAAAUACUAGAGAAAAUAUAAGCUUUAGGUGCUGAUGAUAUAGUGCUAGCAGACUCGAAAAAGAAAAGGAGGGACCUAGAAAAGUGCACUUAAUGCUUGUAAACAAGGUUUUUCUUCCACAGCAACCGUCCAGGCCCACAAAAGCCUACAUGAGCAUGGGCUCCCAUAACUAGCGUUGCCAGCAGGCGCCAACAACACGCUCGCCCGAGACUAGAGGAAGAGGAGGGCACCCUGUCUUCGUGGAAAAGGGCAGCGAUCGUUUCCCGCUCGUUUCCGGCCCCACGAGAGGGGGUCCCGGAGGGGACAGGGGAUCAAACGACAAUGGCCACAAGAGAACAAGACAGACUUGGACAGUGCCAGUAUACCAACGCUCCACUGCCGAGUCUCGCAGCUCGAAUGGACCUCAGACAGACCGAAUGCAAACCCGGAGGUUGCCCACGCGGGAAGGCAGAGAACC